AGUGAACGCUGGCGGCGUGCUUAACACAUGCAAGUCGAACGAGAACGGAUUAUAGCUUGCUAUAAUUGUCAGCUAAGUGGCGCACGGGUGAGUAAUGUAUAGGUAAUAUGCCUCUUACUAAGGGACAACAAAUGGAAACGUUUGCUAAUACCUUAUACUCCUUAUUAACAGAAGUUAAUAAAGGAAAGAUUUAUUGGUAAGAGAUUAGCCUGUAUUGUAUCAGUUAGUUGGUGGGGUAAUGGCUUACCAAGACUAUGACACAUAACUGGUUUGAGAGGAUGAUCAGUCACACUGGAACUGAGACACGGUCCAGACUCCUACGGGAGGCGGCAGUGGGGAAUAUUGCACAAUGGACGAAAGUCUGAUGCAGCAACGCCGCGUGGAGGAUGACACAUUUCGGUGCGUAAACUCCUUUUAUAUGAGAAGAUAAUGACGGUAUUAUAUGAAUAAGCACCGGCUAACUCCGUGCCAGCAGCCGCCGUAA
rnacentral:rRNA from 1 species